CCGUAUCGGUUUCUGACGUGCAAAAUCGAAUCGAUAGACUUGGGGUAUAGGGGGCGAAAGACUAAUCGAACCAUCUAGUAGCUGGUUCCUUCCGAAGAUUCCCUCAGGAUAGCAUGGAACUCUUGCAGUUAUAUUCGGUAAAGCUAAUGAUUAGAGGCCUUGGGGACGUAAUGUCCUCAACCUAUUCUCAAACUUUCAAUGGAUAUGGCGUCGCAGUUUCUUUAGUGAACUGCGGCGUGAAUGCGAGUUCCAAGUGGGCCAUUUUUGGUAAGCAGAACUGGCGCUGUGGGAGGAACCAAACGUGGAGUUAAGGUGCCUAACUUCUCGCUUAUGAGACCCCAUAAAAGGUGUUGGUUGAUAUUGACAGCAGGACGGUGGCCAUGGAAGUCGGUACCCGCUAAGGAGUGUGUAACAACUCACCUGCCGAAUCAACUAGCCCUGAAAAUGGAUGGCGCUUAAGCGAGAGACCUAUACUCCGCCGUCGCGGCAUGUGCGUUGUCUAGCGCCAGGUCGCGACGAGUAGGAAGGACGUGGCGAUUGCGUUGAAGGCUAUGAGCGUAGGCUCGGCUGGAGCUUCCGUCAGUGCAGAUCGUAAUGGUAGUAGCAAAUAUUCAAGUUUCGAUCCUUGAAGACUGAAGUGGAGAAGGGUUCCACGUGAACAGUAGUUGGAUGUGGGUCAGUCGAUCCUAAGGUACUGGCGAAAGCCUUGUAUCAUCGGUGGCGAAAAGCUUGCUUUUUGUCCCCGCCCGUCGAAAGGGAAUAGGGUUAAUAUUCCCUAACUGAGAUGCAAAGAUUGUGUUCUUCGGAGCACAAGCGCGGUAACGCGUUCGAACUUGGUAAGUCGCUCAGAGACCGAGCUAGAGUUUUCUUCUCUAGUUAAGGAACGGACUCCCUGGAAUUGGUUCAGCCAGAGAUGGGGACGUUGUUUCCGAAAAGCACCGCGGUUUCUGUGGUGUCUCGUGCUCUCUGAACGGCCCUUUAAACACCAAGGGAGGCUAUUAAUUUGCACUCAAUCGUACCGAUAUCCGCAUUAGGUCUCCAAGGUGAACAGCCUCUAGUCGAUAGAAUAAUGUAGGUAAGGGAAGUCGGCAAACUAGAUCCGUAACUUCGGGAAAAGGAUUGGCUCCAGUGGUCGUAACGGUUGGCCAGUUGGUUGAUGCUUGUCCGGCGCUGUUCUGUCUGCUUGAUGCUUUCGGGCUGAUGGCGGCCUAGUGAUAGUGCUUGCUUGUUGACGCUUUCUGGUGUGUGCUUUGACCUCGGUCUUAGUAUCCUGAUCGUUCAUCUAAACGACUAAACUGGAACCGGUACGGACUCAGGGAAUCCGACUGUCUAAUUAAAACAGAGGUGACAGAUGGUCCUUGCGGACGCUGACUGUCACUGAUUUCUGCCCAGUGCUCUGAAUGUUAAAUCGUAGUAAUUCGAGUAAGCGCGGGUAAACGGCGGGAGUAACUAUGACUCUCUUAAGGUAGCCAAAUGCCUCGUCAUUUAAUUGUUGACGCGCAUGAAUGGAUUAACGAGAUUCCUACUGUCCCUAACUACUAUCUAGCGAAACCACAGCCAAGGGAACGGGCUUGGCAAAAAUAGCGGGGAAAGAAGACCCUGUUGAGCUUGACUCUAGUUUGACAUUGUGAAGAGUCAUGAGAGGUGUAGCAUAGGUGGGAGUCUUCGGACGCCAAUGAAAUACCACCACUUUCAUCGACUCUUUACUUAUUCGGUUAAAAGAGAAUUGGGUCGGCAAGGCCCUCUUUUCGAGUAUUAAGCCGGAUCCAUUUUUA
rfam:Caenorhabditis japonica strain DF5081 Contig9414.1, whole genome shotgun sequence.